rnacentral:rRNA from 1 species
AGCAGCCGCGGUAAUUCCAGCUCCAAUAGCGUAUAUUAAAGUUGUUGCAGUUAAAAAGCUCGUAGUUGAACUUCGGGGUCUACCCAUUGGUCAGGCUUAAUUGUCUGCACUGGUGAGAUGGAUCUCUACCUUCUGAGGAACUUUCAUGCCAUUUAUUUGGUGUGGUUGGAAAUCAGGACUGUUACUUUGAAAAAAUUAGAGUGUUUAAAGCAGACUAUCGUCUGAAUACAUUAGCAUGGAAUAAUGAAAUAGGACGGACUGAUUCUAUUUCGUUGGUUUCUAGGAUCACCGUAAUGAUUAAUAGGGAUAGUUGGGGGCAUUAGUAUUCAAUUGUCAGAGGUGAAAUUCUUGGAUUUAUUGAAGACUAACUACUGCGAAAGCAUUUGCCAAGGAUGUUUUCAUUAAUCAAGAACGAAAGUUAGGGGACCGAAGACGAUCAGAUACCGUCGUAGUCUUAACCAUAAACUAUGCCGACUAGGGAUCGGACGAAGUUAAUUUUAUAAUGACGCG